rnacentral:rRNA from 1 species
UACGGGGGGGGCAAGCGUUGUUCGGAAUUACUGGGCGUAAAGGGCUCGUAGGCGGCCAACUAAGUCAUACGUGAAAUCCCUCGGCUUAACCGGGGAACUGCGUCUGAUACUGGAUGGCUUGAGAUUGGGAGAGGGAUGCGGAAUUCCAGGUGUAGCGGUGAAAUGCGUAGAUAUCUGGAGGAACACCGGUGGCGAAGGCGGCCACCUGGACGGUAACUGACGCUGAGACGCGAAAGCGUGGGGAGCAAACAGG